UUAAGCGACUAAGCGUACACGGUGGAUGCCCUGGCAGUCAGAGGCGAUGAAGGACGUGCUAAUCUGCGAUAAGCGUCGGUAAGGUGAUAUGAACCGUUAUAACCGGCGAUUUCCGAAUGGGGAAACCCAGUGUGUUUCGACACACUAUCAUUAACUGAAUCCAUAGGUUAAUGAGGCGAACCGGGGGAACUGAAACAUCUAAGUACCCCGAGGAAAAGAAAUCAACCGAGAUUCCCCCAGUAGCGGCGAGCGAACGGGGAGCAGCCCAGAGCCUGAAUCAGUGUGUGUGUUAGUGGAAGCGUCUGGAAAGGCGCGCGAUACAGGGUGACAGCCCCGUACACAAAAAUGCACAUGCUGUGAGCUCGAUGAGUAGGGCGGGACACGUGGUAUCCUGUCUGAAUAUGGGGGGACCAUCCUCCAAGGCUAAAUACUCCUGACUGACCGAUAGUGAACCAGUACCGUGAGGGAAAGGCGAAAAGAACCCCGGCGAGGGGAGUGAAAAAGAACCUGAAACCGUGUACGUACAAGCAGUGGGAGCACGCUUAGGCGUGUGACUGCGUACCUUUUGUAUAAUGGGUCAGCGACUUAUAUUCUGUAGCAAGGUUAACCGAAUAGGGGAGCCGAAGGGAAACCGAGUCUUAACUGGGCGUUAAGUUGCAGGGUAUAGACCCGAAACCCGGUGAUCUAGCCAUGGGCAGGUUGAAGGUUGGGUAACACUAACUGGAGGACCGAACCGACUAAUGUUGAAAAAUUAGCGGAUGACUUGUGGCUGGGGGUGAAAGGCCAAUCAAACCGGGAGAUAGCUGGUUCUCCCCGAAAGCUAUUUAGGUAGCGCCUCGUGAAUUCAUCUCCGGGGGUAGAGCACUGUUUCGGCAAGGGGGUCAUCCCGACUUACCAACCCGAUGCAAACUGCGAAUACCGGAGAAUGUUAUCACGGGAGACACACGGCGGGUGCUAACGUCCGUCGUGAAGAGGGAAACAACCCAGACCGCCAGCUAAGGUCCCAAAGUCAUGGUUAAGUGGGAAACGAUGUGGGAAGGCCCAGACAGCCAGGAUGUUGGCUUAGAAGCAGCCAUCAUUUAAAGAAAGCGUAAUAGCUCACUGGUCGAGUCGGCCUGCGCGGAAGAUGUAACGGGGCUAAACCAUGCACCGAAGCUGCGGCAGCGACACUAUGUGUUGUUGGGUAGGGGAGCGUUCUGUAAGCCUGUGAAGGUGUGCUGUGAGGCAUGCUGGAGGUAUCAGAAGUGCGAAUGCUGACAUAAGUAACGAUAAAGCGGGUGAAAAGCCCGCUCGCCGGAAGACCAAGGGUUCCUGUCCAACGUUAAUCGGGGCAGGGUGAGUCGACCCCUAAGGCGAGGCCGAAAGGCGUAGUCGAUGGGAAACAGGUUAAUAUUCCUGUACUUGGUGUUACUGCGAAGGGGGGACGGAGAAGGCUAUGUUGGCCGGGCGACGGUUGUCCCGGUUUAAGCGUGUAGGCUGGUUUUCCAGGCAAAUCCGGAAAAUCAAGGCUGAGGCGUGAUGACGAGGCACUACGGUGCUGAAGCAACAAAUGCCCUGCUUCCAGGAAAAGCCUCUAAGCAUCAGGUAACAUCAAAUCGUACCCCAAACCGACACAGGUGGUCAGGUAGAGAAUACCAAGGCGCUUGAGAGAACUCGGGUGAAGGAACUAGGCAAAAUGGUGCCGUAACUUCGGGAGAAGGCACGCUGAUAUGUAGGUGAAGCGACUUGCUCGUGGAGCUGAAAUCAGUCGAAGAUACCAGCUGGCUGCAACUGUUUAUUAAAAACACAGCACUGUGCAAACACGAAAGUGGACGUAUACGGUGUGACGCCUGCCCGGUGCCGGAAGGUUAAUUGAUGGGGUUAGCCGCAAGGCGAAGCUCUUGAUCGAAGCCCCGGUAAACGGCGGCCGUAACUAUAACGGUCCUAAGGUAGCGAAAUUCCUUGUCGGGUAAGUUCCGACCUGCACGAAUGGCGUAAUGAUGGCCAGGCUGUCUCCACCCGAGACUCAGUGAAAUUGAACUCGCUGUGAAGAUGCAGUGUACCCGCGGCAAGACGGAAAGACCCCGUGAACCUUUACUAUAGCUUGACACUGAACAUUGAGCCUUGAUGUGUAGGAUAGGUGGGAGGCUUUGAAGUGUGGACGCCAGUCUGCAUGGAGCCGACCUUGAAAUACCACCCUUUAAUGUUUGAUGUUCUAACGUUGACCCGUAAUCCGGGUUGCGGACAGUGUCUGGUGGGUAGUUUGACUGGGGCGGUCUCCUCCUAAAGAGUAACGGAGGAGCACGAAGGUUGGCUAAUCCUGGUCGGACAUCAGGAGGUUAGUGCAAUGGCAUAAGCCAGCUUGACUGCGAGCGUGACGGCGCGAGCAGGUGCGAAAGCAGGUCAUAGUGAUCCGGUGGUUCUGAAUGGAAGGGCCAUCGCUCAACGGAUAAAAGGUACUCCGGGGAUAACAGGCUGAUACCGCCCAAGAGUUCAUAUCGACGGCGGUGUUUGGCACCUCGAUGUCGGCUCAUCACAUCCUGGGGCUGAAGUAGGUCCCAAGGGUAUGGCUGUUCGCCAUUUAAAGUGGUACGCGAGCUGGGUUUAGAACGUCGUGAGACAGUUCGGUCCCUAUCUGCCGUGGGCGCUGGAGAACUGAGGGGGGCUGCUCCUAGUACGAGAGGACCGGAGUGGACGCAUCACUGGUGUUCGGGUUGUCAUGCCAAUGGCACUGCCCGGUAGCUAAAUGCGGAAGAGAUAAGUGCUGAAAGCAUCUAAGCACGAAACUUGCCCCGAGAUGAGUUCUCCCUGACCCUUUAAGGGUCCUGAAGGAACGUUGAAGACGACGACGUUGAUAGGCCGGGUGUGUAAGCGCAGCGAUGCGUUGAGCUAACCGGUACUAAUGAACCGUGAGGCUUAACCUU
rnacentral:rRNA from 1 species